rnacentral:rRNA from 1 species
CAGAGCCACGGUAAUACAGAGGGUGCAAGCGUUGUCCGGAAUCAUUGGGCGUAAAGCGCGCGUAGGUGGCCAUUUAAGUCCGCUGUGAAAGUCAAAGGCUCAACCUUUGAAAGCCGGUGGAUACUGGAUGGCUAGAGUACGGAAGAGGCGAGUGGAAUUCCUGGUGUAGCGGUGGAAUGCGCAGAUAUCAGGAGGAACACCAAUAGCGAAGGCAGCUCGCUGGGACGUUACUGACACUGAGGCGCGAAAGCAUGGGGAGCGAACAGGAUUAGAUACCCCAGUAGUCCCUGUCUCUUAUACA